AUUGAACGCUGGCGGCAUGCCUUACACAUGCAAGUCGAACGGCAGCACGGAGCUUGCUCUGGUGGCGAGUGGCGAACGGGUGAGUAAUAUAUCGGAACGUACCCUGGAGUGGGGGAUAACGUAGCGAAAGUUACGCUAAUACCGCAUACGAUCCAAGGAUGAAAGCAGGGGACCUUCGGGCCUUGUGCUCCUGGAGCGGCCGAUAUCUGAUUAGCUAGUUGGUGGGGUAAAGGCCUACCAAGGCAUCGAUCAGUAGCUGGUCUGAGAGGACGACCAGCCACACGGGAACUGAGACACGGUCCAGACUCCUACGGGAGGCAGCAGUGGGGAAUUUUGGACAAUGGGGGCAACCCUGAUCCAGCAAUGCCGCGUGAGUGAAGAAGGCCUUCGGGUUGUAAAGCUCUUUUGUCAGGGAAGAAAAGGGUGCGGCUAAUAUCUGCGCCUCAUGACGGUACCUGAAGAAUAAGCACCGGCUAACUACGUGCCAGCCGCCGCCGUAA
rnacentral:rRNA from 1 species